CCUACGGGAGGCAGCAGUGAGGAAUAUUGGUCAAUGGGCGCGAGCCUGAACCAGCCAAGUAGCGUGAGGGAUGACUGCACUGCGGGUUGUAAACUUCUUUUAUCAAGGAAUAAAGUGAGGCACGUGUCCCUUUUUGUAUGUACUUGAUGAAUAAGGAUCGGCUAACUCCGUGCCAGCAGCCGCGGUAAUACGGAGGAUCCGAGCGUUAUCCGGAUUUAUUGGGUUUAAAGGGAGCGUAGAUGGGUUGUUAAGUCAGUUGUGAAAGUUUGCGGCUCAACCGUAAGAUUGCAAUUGAUACUGGCAGUCUUGAGUACAGUUGAGGUAGGCGGAAUGCGUGGGGUAGCGGUGAAAUGCUUAGAUAUCACGAAGAACUCCGAUUGCGAAGGCAGCUUACUAGACUGCCACUGACAUUGAUGCACGAAAGUGUGGGUAUCGAACAGGAUUAGAUACCCCGGUAGUC
rnacentral:rRNA from 1 species